rnacentral:rRNA from 1 species
AAUAGAUACCCUGGUAGUCCACGCCGUAAACGAUGAGUGCUAAGUGUUGGGGGGUUUCCGCCCCUCAGUGCUGCAGCUAACGCAUUAAGCACUCCGCCUGGGGAGUACGGUCGCAAGACUGAAACUCAAAGGAAUUGACGGGGGCCCGCACAAGCGGUGGAGCAUGUGGCUUAAUUCGAAGCAACGCGAAGAACCUUACCAGGUCUUGACAUCCCGGUGACCACUAUGGAGACAUAGUUUCCCCUUCGGGGGCAACGGUGACAGGUGGUGCAUGGUUGUCGUCAGCUCGUGUCGUGAGAUGUUGGGUUAAGUCCCGCAACGAGCGCAACCCUUAUUCUUAGUUGCCAUCAUUCAGUUGGGCACUCUAAGGAGACUGCCGGUGAUAAACCGGAGGAAGGUGGGGAUGGACGUCAAAUCAUCAUGCCCCUUAUGACCUGGGCUACACACGUGCUACAAUGGACGGUACAAACGGUUGCCAACCCGCGAGGGGGAGCUAAUCCGAUAAAACCGUUCUCAGUUCGGAUUGUAGGCUGCAACUCGCCUAC